GUUUCUUUGGAUUUUCCCCAAAAUGCCUUUGCCUUUGAUGGCAAGGGUUUUACUUUGCCUUUGAUGGCAAGGGUUUUUUCUGUAUGAACCUUGUGGUGGCAAGGGUUUUUUCUGUAUGAACCUUGUGAUGGCAAGGGUUUUUUCUGUAUGAACCUUGUGAUGGCAAGGCGUUAAGGAAGCUGAGAAGUGUAGUAGAACAAAAACCACUCCAGUCCAGCCUGUAAAAUAAAAUUACAUGUACGCCAGCAGUACCUCAUGAUCAAAAGCAUGACAGGGUGUGGUUUAAUUUCUCUUGGUAAAACGGUAAGCUUUGUGGAGCAUGCUGAUGGGAUUUCUUCCAGGAAUGUGAAUGUUUUGCUGUGCUGUGUAUGGUUGUCAAUAGAUACACUUAUCUUGAUUUUUAUCAUUGUAGAAGGAAAAUUAAACAGUGCCAGCAUCUUUGGUGUAGCAGGUUAAGUGCUUUGGUGUCGUACGCAGGAGACCUCAGUUUGAUUCCCACAUCUCGGUCUUUCUGUGGGAUGUUGUUUCCCUCUCAGUAAGGGAUGCCCCUGGCAGGCAGGGUCACAAGCCUGUCUCCUAGAUUAUCUAAAUUGUGUCGAUGAUGUAAAAACACCUACAUUGAAACAAAAAAAUUAAGCUGUUUUGUUGUGGUGUUAGAGAGUCGAUGCUUUUUGGUCGCCGUGCUUUCAGUUUUGCUUUUUACCUAACUUUUCUCUUUUCUGUUCUCCCUCAUGGAUUACGACAACAUUCUAUUUGCAAACCUUCUGAACAUCUCCAUCUUGAAACUACAGCGAUUUCAAAACCAAGCUAUGAAAAUCCUGCCUAAAAAUCCUCCAUUGGCUCCCAAUAACAGCUAAAUUUACUUACAAAACUGAAGUCCUUUGCCAUAAAGCUCCCUUGUAUUUUAGUAAGCAGCCUCAUUUAAAUAUGUACCACAAAGAUCUUUAAAGUCAGGAGAUCAGUGUGUUUUGGGAGCAACAAGGAAUGGAGGUUAACAAAAUCACAGGGGGGUCCUUUAACCAGCUUACUCCAUCUGUUUCUUUUUAGAACUCUCUUCCUAAACAUUUGAAGGAUACAAAGUCGGGGGCAAAUCUUAGUCUUUUGUUCAUAAUGUGAAGUGUGUAUUGUUGUUGAUUGUGCCACAGUUGUGUGAAUGUUUGCUUUUGUGUGUCAGCAUAUAGAGCGUAUGUGUGCAUGAUCAUGCAGAUGUAUUUUGUGUUAAGAUACAGGUAUUGUAAAGGGCCAAGAGCUGCAUUGUACGGGAAUGGGUUCCAGAGAAAUUGACUACAUCAUUAUUAUAAUUGUCAGUAAUAAAAAGCAUAGUGGAAUGUAAACACCUGUACAGUUGUGCCUGCGAACAUUCGUGGAUGUCAUUCUUCCAAAAAGCUGGGACCCAAGGUACAUUUAUUUUUCAUCCCAGAAAUUUGAAUUUGAAAUGGUGAGACAGGUUAAUAUAGAUGAAAUCAGAUGCUCCUGUGUGGAUUGGUUUCAUGGUACAUCACAUUUAUCUUGAAGAUUUUUAAUGCAACAAUAGUUGAGGGAAAGAGUGAACAUAUUUGUAUUUAAGGACAGGUUCCAAUAAUAUAAAUAAUUUAUAUCAUGUGUAAGCUUUUUGUAAUUAAUUCUCCAUUCAAUCACCAAUCUUUUUCAUGAUGUACCAUGCUUCAAAGUCUGAAUAAAAACAAAGUACAAAGUGAA